AAAAACAUGUCUUUUUGGUUAUUUAAUAUAAAGUCUGGCCUGCCCACUGAAUUUAAUUUUGAAGGGCCGCAGUAUUUUGACUGUGCAAAGGUAGCAUAAUCAUUAGUCUUUUAAUUGAAGGCUGGUAUGAAUGGUUGGAUGAGGUACAAGCUGUGUCAUAAAAAUUAAUAUUUGAAUUUAACUUUUUAGUCAAAAGGCUAAAAUUUAAUUGAAAGACGAGAAGACCCUAUAGAGCUUUAUAUAAUGAUUAUUUAAUUUAUUAAGAUUUAUUAAAUUUAAUUAUUUUAUUGUAUUUUGUUGGGGUGACAAUAAAAUUUAAAAAACUUUUAUUAUUAUUUUACAUUUAUUUAUGACUUUAUGAUCCAGUUUUAUUGAUUAUAAAUUUAAGUUACCUUAGGGAUAACAGCGUAAUUUUUUUUGAGAGUUCAUAUCGACAAAAAAGAUUGCGACCUCGAUGUUGGAUUAAGAGUAAUUUUGGGUGUAGAAGUC
rnacentral:rRNA from 1 species